UCAGUAUUUGUAGCCCAUGUAUCUAAUGCUGUCUGGACCAAAAGACUAUGACAUGUUGCCACUGUAGCAUUUGAUUGAUUGACGCCAGCAAGCAUUUGGCCCAUGGCCGGCGCCAGAAUUAAUCAGUUGGAUGGGCCUUUGAUUUCCAUUGGCGGGCACGUUUUUUCACGGGAUCUCCUAUGUGUGCACGCCAGUGGCUGUUGGUGCCGUUUAAGAUGAGAAAGGACAGAUGUUUUUUUUUCAUGAGCAUGACCUUAUUUCUAUUACAGCAUAUCGGAUGACUGUUCCAUUGCCAGUGAACUCGGGACACACAGCUGUUUGUUUUUUUAAUGACGAAUCAUCAGAUUAUAGUUUCCUCUUUCACACCUAUGCUUGGUGAUUAUGGAGGCCGGGAAAUACUUUUCAAAUACUGAGGAACUAUAAUUCGCAAAGGAUGUUAAAAAAACAAGCUUCCUUGACUCACUGUGUGAGGUGAAGAAAAAAUGACUGUGAAACUCAGUUUAUUAGUGGCGGACGUGUGGCCUCCUGAGACCUAAUAAAACCUACAGUACAAGAUCUUCAUCAAUGCUGAGACGGACAUUGACGAGGUGACUGGGAUGAAGUUCCGCUGGAACAACCACAUCAUCAACCCCCCGCGCCCCAUGUAUGGUGCCACCAAGAUUGAGCAGCUGCGAGGGAAGGAUAGCAAAUUUUAUUUGUUCUGUGGAAAGAGGGUGCGUGAAAAUGUGCACCAGACCCUUGAUCCAUGCUGACCUAAGUGAAGCACAACCAAACAUGGUUUACAGAGAUUUACAAUAAAGUUACAGCAUUUGAACACUUUCUAUGAGUCACAGUCAUCGGUCCUUUCUACAAUUGUGUAAAGACAUCUAAACAAUAAAGCAUUGCAGCAACAUGA